rnacentral:rRNA from 1 species
GACGAACGCUGGCGGCGUGCUUAACAUAUGCAAGUCGAACGGAAAGGCCCUGCUUGCAGGGUACUCGAGUGGCGAACGGGUGAGUAACACGUGGGUGAUCUGCCCUGCACUUCGGGAUAAGCCUGGGAAACUGGGUCUAAUACCGGAUAGGAGCCAUUUUUAGUGUGAUGGUUGGAAGGUUUUUUCGGUGUAGGAUGAGCUCGCGGCCUAUCAGCUUGUUGGUGGGGUAAUGGCCUACCAAGGCGGCGACGGGUAGCCGGCCUGAGAGGGUGGACGGCCACAUUGGGACUGAGAUACGGCCCAGACUCCUACGGGAGGCAGCAGUGGGGAAUAUUGCACAAUGGGCGCAAGCCUGAUGCAGCGACGCCGCGUGGGGGAUGACGGCCUUCGGGUUGUAAACUCCUUUCGCUAGGGACGAAGCUUUUUGUGACGGUACCUAGAUAAGAAGCACCGGCUAACUACGUG